CCCGCGGCCUAGCGAUGGCGGCAGAGACCGGGGCCGGGAGCACCGGGGGGGGGGAGGCGGAAUCCGCGGGUCCCGGACCCCAGCCCCGGUACCGGCCCCGGCAGCCGCCCCCCGACCUGCCCCGGGAGCCGCGGUCGGGUGGGAUCCGGCCGGUACCGGGGGCCUGGAGCGGGGCUGGGGGGGCCCGGCCGUUAACGGGUGUUGGGUGAGGUGGGCCCGGCACCGGGUGCAUGGGCCUGUGGGGUGGGGGCGGGCACAGCUCGGCCUCCGCACCUCCAGCUCGUUAUCCCCGCUUAUAAUUCAUUAUUCCUUUGCUUCAUUACCUUAAUUACACGCCCCGGCGCUCCCUGCCUGUGGCGCGUUACCUCUGGGGUGAAUUAUUUUACCCCGCAGCCUUUGAUGUCUGCCCGGUGCUAAAUAAAACGUUUGUGCUCGUCCUCACAGGGCCCGGCCCGGCUGGAAGGCGGCGGCGAGGCUCCGGGUGUCAGCGUUUCCCUGCCCUGCAGCCUCUGGACAGGCAGCGGGAAGGCAGCAGGCCGCAGGCAGCACCGGAGCUGCUCCCUGCAGGGUUUGGGUGAGGCCCUGAGCACACAGGGGCACGGCCGAGCGCCUUCGGAGGCUUCCUGAGGGAACAUUCUCUGGCAGAUGUGGUGGUAGCCAGGCAGCAAGAAGAAGAUUGACAGGAGAAGAGGACUGGCACCGUGGAGGUUGUGAGCAGAGAGGAAAAAGGACGAGGUGUUUGCCUUAUUUUUAGAUCCUGUGAGCUACUGUUUGGCCAAAGGGCUGGUUUCUGAACCAAACCCAGGACAGAGCAUUAAUCUAGAAACUCAGCCAAAUCUGUAUGUGUGUCAGUGACUAAGCAAAGGCACGAUGCUGCCUUCUGGGCUGUAGGAGUCGUUUUGAUCAGCCAAGAGACUGCAGUGGUUCUACGCUUUGUCUCCUGUAUUGAUUCUCUGAAUAUACUUUGUCAUGUGCAUUUCAAUGCUAAGGAGUCUGUCAAAUAAAAAAAAACAA